rnacentral:piRNA from 1 species
UCAAAAUGACCUUGUGAGACGCUGAAAGC